CUAAAUGACCACAUUACAUUUGGUAAUGAUUCAAAGGUGCAAGUCAAGGGUAAAAUUCUCAUCCAAAUGAAGAAUGAAGAACAAUAUAUAUUCAGUGUUUACUAUAUUCCUUUUAUGAAGACAAAUGUUUUGAGUUUUAUCCAAUUUUUAUUCAUAGAGUUCCAAUCAUGUAGAACCAAAUAAUCUUGUGAAUAUUCAAAGUUGAGAAGUAGAGUGUUUGCAGGCAUAGGUCAAAGAUUCAACAUUACAUUUGAAACAUGGCAAUUUAAGUUUUGACGGUCUAAACAUCUUUACAAAGUGAAAUAUGGUGAAGGGGCCAUAACAUAUUUAUCAUCCAAAUCAACUUUGCAAAGAGUCUAUGAAAAGAAAUCAGAAAACUUUCCCAAAAGAAGCAAGUUUUCGAGCAUCGAGACUACUAAAUUAGUACAUAUGGAUCUCUAUGGAUCGCUUCAGCCUGCAUAAUUUGAUAAAAGUAAUUACUUCAUUUCAUUUAUUCAUGACUUUUCUCGUAAAAUAUUAGGUGAUUUUCUUAUAGAAAAGUCUGAUGCAAUUGAAGCUUACAAGAAUUUCAAGGCGAUGGUGAAUAAUCAAAGUAGUCACAAGAUCAAAAACUUAUGCUAAAAUCAUGGUGGUGAUUAUAUUAGCAACACAUUCAAGAAUUUUUGUUAAGAUCAUGGCAUUUUUUUCAUUUUUUUUAUGUUCACUUGUCUUCUAAACAAAUGGCGUAGCAGAGAAAAGAAUAUGACAAUAAUGAAAAUGACUUGAAGUAUGCUGAAAACUAAGAAGAUGCCAAAAAAGUUCUUGACUGAAAUUGCUUAGUGUGCUGUGCAUUUGUUGAAUAGUUGUCCCACCAAAGUGUGCAAAAUGACUCAUCAAGAAGCAUGGAGUGAACUCAAGCAAAGUAUAUUACAUUCAAGUUUUCAUAAGCAUUGCUUUAUCUCAUAUUUCGAAAGAAAGAAGGACCAAACUAGAUGACAACGGUGAGAAAUAAAUCUUAAUAGGCUAUGAUUCAAGAUGAAAAGAUUACUAGCUCUCCAACACAAUAAAUAAGAAUGUGAUCACAAGUAGGGAUGUUGAGUUCGGCGUUGAAAUUGGGCAAGAAGAAAACUAUAAUUUCUUCAAGAACUUGAAAGGCUUACCACUGGAUCAAUGGCAAAAUCACUUUUAGAAUUGGCUCUUUCUUUGCCACAACGAAUAUGUCAAUUCUUAUCAAUGGUUUUCCAUCUCCCUUUUUCUCAUGCUUGAAACUAUUUAUUCUUCUUCGAACUUUUUUUUUCCUUUUUUUUUUUUUUUUUUUUUUUUUUUUACAUCUCCAAUGAAUGGCAUUCUAGAAGCUCUCAAUCAAGCAAAGACUUCCUAUACUAUACUAAAGUCAAAUCAAUGUGGGCAUAAAUUGGGACAUACUGUCAAUGAUCUCAGUUAAACCAAUUAGGAAACGAUUUUCUCUUUGCGGUUAAAUUGGAUACGCGACGUAGGAUAAAGAAAAAGAGUUGAGAACAAGGUGAUGUGAUUCCGCCUUAAUUAACAUCAUCAGCUCUACCUCCAAGAUAUAUCAUCAUCUUCAUCAUCCUCAAGUAAAAUACCACAUCAUUUUAGAUGUUUUCGAUAGAUUUGUAAUGAUACCGAAGAGUUAUCUCAACAUCUCAAGAAAAUAACUUUAUUUUGUUUAUUUGUCCAUCAUGCGAUUAUUAAUUUCAAUGAUGCUAUUAGAAAUAAUAAUGGGUAAAGCCAUGAAAGAAGAGAUCUAUUAAGAAGAAUGAUACUUGGGAGUUAGUGAUGCAACCUACUGGCCAAAAGUCAAUUGGAGUCAUGGACUUUUGAGGAAAAAACAAUGUAAAUGGUGAAAUCGAAUGCUACAAGACAAAUGUUGGUAGCUAAAAGCUACAAUCUGGAACAUGAUGUCAAUUAUGACAAUCAUUGCACUAGUAGCUCUUUUUGAAAUAAUAAGACUUAUCAUUUUCAUGGCAGCAUAAAAUGGAUGUUCAAUCGACAUUUUUGAAUGAAUUUCUACAAUAAAACGUAUACAUACUACAAUCUCAUGGGCAGGGACGAAUUCAGGAGUUUGAGUCAGCAGGGACGACCGUUGACCAUUUAUCGUCGGCCACAAUAAAAUAUUAAGAGUCUUUUUGAUACCCAUUCUUUUGCAAAAAAAAAAGCAUUUUGGAAUAGUGAUUUGACGAAGAACGUGUGACUAAAAAUAAAGAAAAUUUUUGAAUUUACGUGUAAUAUUAUUUUAUUGAAG
rnacentral:lncRNA from 1 species